AACAUGGGUAUUGAAUAAUGUGCUACAUAAGCAUAACUCAUGCACUCUCAGCCGUCUGGACAGAGGACAAGGACCGACACCAUAACAGGGGACAGAGAUGCAGACAGUAGCACACACACAGGCAGUAGCACACAGGCAGUAGCACACACACAGGCAGUAGCACACACACAGUAGCACACAGGCAGUAGCACACACACAGGCAGUAGCACACACACAGGCAGUAGCACACACAGACAGUAGCGCACACAGACAGUAGCGCACACAGGCAGUAGCACACAGGCAGUAACACACACACAGUAGCACACAGUGCACACACAGGCAGUAGCACACACAGACACAGGCAGUAGCACACACACAGGCAGUAGCACACAGAGAGAGUAGCACACACAGGCAGUAGCACACAGGCAGUAGCACACACACAGUAGCACACAGUGCACACACAGGCAGUAGCACACACAGACACAGGCAGUAGCACACACACAGGCAGUAGCACACAGAGAGAGUAGCACACACAGGCAGUAGCACACAGGCAGUAGCACACACACACACACAGGCAGUAACACACAGGCAGUAGCACACACACAGGCAGUAGCACACACACAGGCAGUAACACACAGGCAGUAGCACACACACACAGGCAGUAGCACACACACAGGCAGUAGCACACAGACAGUAGCACACACACAGGCAGUAGCACACAGGCAGUAGCACACACAGGCAGUAGCACACACACAGGCAGUAGCACACACACAGGCAGUAGCACACAGGCAGUAGCACACACACAGGCAGUAGCACACACAGUGCACACACACACAGGCAGUAGCACACACACAGGCAGUAGCACACACACAGGCAGUAGCACACACACACAGGCAGUAGCACACACAGGCAGUAGCACACACAGGCAGUAGCACACAGGCAGUAGCACACACACAGGCAGUAGCACACACACACACACACACACACACACACACAGACAGUAGCACACACAGACAGUAGCACACACAGGCAGUAGCACACACACACAGGCAGUAGCACACAGUGCACACACAGGCAGUAGCACACAGGCAGUAGGACACACAGGCAGUAGCACACAG
ensembl:lncRNA